UCGAGUUUGUAAGGGUUUUCAACCCUCACCCUCGCCCAACGCAGGACGUUCGGUAAUCAUUUGGCGCUUACAGUGCCAGCGUUUCACGCAAACCAAAACUCACAAUAAAUCUAAUAAUCUGAAUGUCUUAUUGAAUAAAUCA
rnacentral:misc_RNA from 1 species